rnacentral:rRNA from 1 species
GUCUACAGCCAUGCCAUCCUAAAUAAGCCCGAUCCUGUCUGAUCUUGGAAGCUAAGCAGGAUCGGGCCUGGUUAGUACUUGGAUGGGAGACCACCUAGGAAAAUCAGGUGCUGUAGGUA